GAUGAACGCUAGCGGGAGGCCUAACACAUGCAAGCCGAGCGGUAUUGUUUCUUCGGAAAUGAGAGAGCGGCGUACGGGUGCGUAACACGUGUGCAACCUGCCUUUAUCUGGGGGAUAGCCUUUCGAAAGGAAGAUUAAUACUCCAUAAUAUAUUGAACGGCAUCGUUUAAUAUUGAAAGCUCCGGCGGCUAGAGAUGGGCACGCGCAAGAUUAGCUAGUUGGUGAGGUAACGGCUCACCAAGGCGAUGAUCUUUAGGGGGCCUGAGAGGGUGAUCCCCCACACUGGUACUGAGACACGGACCAGACUCCUACGGGAGGCAGCAGUGAGGAAUAGUAGUCAAUGGGGGCAAGCCUGAACCAGCCAUCCCGCGUGAAGGACGACUGCCCUAUGGGUUGUAAACUUCUUUUGUAUAGGGAUAAACCUACCCUCGUGAGGGUAGCUGAAGGUACUAUACGAAUAAGCACCGGCUAACUCCGUG
rnacentral:rRNA from 1 species